UGGGGAAUAUUGCACAAUGGGGGAAACCCUGAUGCAGCGACGCCGCGUGAGCGAAGAAGGUUUUCGAAUCGUAAAGCUCUGUCCUAUGAGAAGAUAAUGACGGUAUCAUAGGAGGAAGCCCCGGCUAAAUACGUGCCAGCAGCCGCGGUAAUACGUAUGGGGCGAGCGUUGUCCGGAAUUAUUGGGCGUAAAGGGUACGUAGGCGGUCUAUUAAGUCAGGUGUGAAAGCGUGAGGCUUAACCUCAUUAAGCACUUGAAACUGAUAGACUUGAGUGAAGGAGAGGGAAGUGGAAUUCCUAGUGUAGCGGUGAAAUGCGUAGAUAUUAGGAGGAAUACCAGUGGCGAAGGCGACUUUCUGGACUUUUACUGACGCUCAGGUACAAAAGCGUGGGGAGCAAACAGG
rnacentral:rRNA from 1 species